rfam:Pseudoalteromonas sp. JW1 Pseudoalteromonas_sp_JW1_S38, whole genome shotgun sequence.
GGGUGAUUAGCUCAGUUGGGAGAGCAUCGCCCUUACAAGGCGAGGGUCACUGGUUCAAGUCCAGUAUCACCCA